GACUGUGAUGGAUAGGAGGACGGCUGCCAGCACUAGGUGACUCAAGGGUUAAACUCAGAUCUUCUAAGUUAAGGGCGGGAGGGAGCAACAUGCAGUAAUCUGAAUUACCAUGUCUACAAGGAAUAUUGGACAUGGGAGUGGACUGGACUGUGAAGACAAUAUUCCAGCACUGCACCUGUGUCGGCGAUGAGGCCAACUUCUCACAAUGCUUGUGAUAUUUGGGAUUUUCUUUAAUGACCUAGCUCCUGGAGUCAUGGGAUUAUGUGAGAACCUCAAGCUUUUUUCUCCCCUUUUAAAGAAAAGUUUGAGACGUGGAGCCCCGCAGGAAAGGAGAAGCCUGCAUGUCUUUCCAAGAGACACAGCACAUCUGGGCACAGCAGCGCCUCCUCCCCACCCACCAGAUAUAAAGUUAUUGUCGUUGCAACCUACUCAAGCCAUUCAAAAGAAGACGAUGUUUGCGUACCAUUUUAAAGAAAAAUCUUCAUGGUACAGUUUGAACCAAAUGAUAGUAUACCCCCCCCCCCAAAAAAAAACCCUGCAACUGAAGACCUUUGCAUCCAGAAAUUUAAGAGGGACUCUGACAACCAGAAAUGAAAACCGCAGCUGCUUCUGCACUGGGCCAACAGGCAAAACAAGCAUUUGGUGGCUGUCACAUCCGUGAAUGCUAAUCAAUAAGUUCUCUGAUGGUACCCUCCAGAACCAGCACAUGUGGCUUGGAGGUUAGAAAAAUCACUGUGGCAAUCACCCAGGCAUGCUGGCAAAUAUCAGACAUUGCAAUUGGCCCUAUUUGAAGGGACCGGCCCUUCUUAUAGCAUGACGUUGACGAUUUUUCCAUUCUGCCCCACCGAAAGGAAUCAAGCUGCUGUUAUGCAAACUGCUCCUGCCUCCCUAUUUCCCCAUCGAUCGUUUUUGCCACCUUUGAAAACAAGCUCCAAACGCAAACUCUCCUUAAAGAACACCAAGCAAGACAAUCAAGCAGCCGCCGCAGCCAGUUGAAGAUCCCAGGCAGUUGGAAAAAAAUAUAAGAAUCUUACAUCCGCCCCUUUGCAUGCAUAUGCUUACCAGUGUUAAAUCUUAUUUGUGUAGCCCAAUAGCGUGCAAGGUGAUUUACGGGACGAUAUAAAGCCCGAUCUUUGAGUCCCGCCAAACUCUUUCUGCCUGAAAUACUUUUUCUCUUUGCAGCAUGUGAUACUACACCACUGUGUGAUUU